UACGGGGGGUGCGAGCGUUGUCCGGAUUCACUGGGCGUAAAGAGCGCGCAGGCGGUCGUGCAAGUCGCGUGUGAAAGCCCCCGGCUCAACUGGGGAGGGUCACGCGAUACUGCUCGACUCGAAGGCAGGAGAGGGAAGUGGAAUUCCCGGUGUAGUGGUGAAAUGCGUAGAUAUCGGGAGGAACACCAGUGGCGAAGGCGGCUUCCUGGCCUGUUCUUGACGCUGAGGCGCGAAAGCUAGUGGAGCAAACGGG
rnacentral:rRNA from 1 species